UCAGCUGUCAUGAUGCCUUCUUGUUGUUGAGACAAAGAAGCCAUUAUGACAAUUGGUG
rnacentral:pre_miRNA from 1 species